ACCUUCUUCUGCAUGCAGUCCUCGGCCAGGGAGUCGCAGCACCGGGAGGACACCUCGGCAGCGUCCUCGGCCAGGGGCAGAAGGUCCUCGAAGGGAGCAGUGGGAACCUUCUGGGCCAGCGAGGCCAGGGUCUGCAGCAGGAGAGAGGAGCCCUGCCCCCGUGCCAGGAUGGAGAGGCCAUUUCCCGCCGUACCUGAAGCUGACUUUGUCCUUGCCGUAGGCCGAGAAGCGGGAGCAAAUCCGGUUUGACGUCAGGGAAGCAGGCAGCGGGCGCAGGGGAGAUGCAGCAGGUGGAGACCAUGGAGAGGAAGGAGGUGGUGGAGGCCAGGAGCACGGGCAGGGGAGCCUGGCUGUAGCUGCUGGAGUACUCAUAGAGAAACCUGCGGCACAGACG